CCCUUAGAUGUUCUGGGCCGCACGCGUGCUACACUGAGUGGAUCAGCGGGUCAGGUUGCGCGAAAGUGUUUCCUAAUCUUGAAAUCCGCUCGUGAUGGGGAUUGACGGUUGCAAUUUUCUGUCAUGAACGAGGAAUACCUUGUAAGCGCGGGUCAUCAUCCCGCGCUGAAUACGUCCCUGCCCUUUGUACACACCGCCCGUCGCUCCUACCGAUUGAGUGGUCCGGUGAGGCUUUGGGAUCUGGAUGGAAAGAGCGUUUCGCUGUUUCUGCUCGGAAAACUCAGUCGAACCUUAUCAUUUAGAGGAAGGAGAAGUCGUAACA
rnacentral:rRNA from 1 species